UACGUAGGUGACAAGCGUUGUCCGGAUUUACUGGGCGUAAAGAGCGCGCAGGCGGUCGUUCAAGUCGAGUGUGAAAGCCCCCGGCUCAACUGGGGAGGGUCAUUCGAUACUGAUCGACUCGAAGGCAGGAGAGGGUAGUGGGAUUCCCGGUGUAGUGGUGGAAUGCGUAGAUAUCGGGAGGAACACCAGUGGCGAAGGCGGUUGCCUGGAGCUUUGCUGACGCUGAGGCGCGAAAGCGUGGGGAGCGAUCCGG
rnacentral:rRNA from 1 species